rnacentral:rRNA from 1 species
AGUGAACGCUGGCGGUAGGCCUAACACAUGCAAGUCGAACGGCAGCACAGUAAGAGCUUGCUCUUACGGGUGGCGAGUGGCGGACGGGUGAGGAAUACAUCGGAAUCUACUUUUUCGUGGGGGAUAACGUAGGGAAACUUACGCUAAUACCGCAUACAACCUACGGGUGAAAGCAGGGGAUCUUCGGACCUUGCGCGAUUGAAUGAGCCGAUGUCGGAUUAGCUAGUUGGCGGGGUAAAGGCCCACCAAGGCGACGAUCCGUAGCUGGUCUGAGAGGAUGAUCAGCCACACUGGAACUGAGACACGGUCCAGACUCCUACGGGAGGCAGCAGUGGGGAAUAUUGGACAAUGGGCGCAAGCCUGAUCCAGCCAUACCGCGUGGGUGAAGAAGGCCUUCGGGUUGUAAAGCCCUUUUGUUGGGAAAGAAAAGCAGCAGGUUAAUCCCCCGCUGUUCUGACGGUACCCAAAGAAUAAGCAACGGCUAACUUCGUG